rnacentral:rRNA from 1 species
CCUACGGGUGGCAGCAGUGGGGAAUAUUGGACAAUGGGCGAAAGCCUGAUCCAGCCAUGCCGCGUGUGUGAAGAAGGCCUUCGGGUUGUAAAGCACUUUCAGUGGGGAAGAAAGCCUUGGGGCUAAUACCCUCGAGGAAGGACAUCACCCACAGAAGAAGCACCGGCUAACUCCGUGCCAGCAGCCGCGGUAAUACGGAGGGUGCGAGCGUUAAUCGGAAUUACUGGGCGUAAAGCGCGCGUAGGCGGUCUGAUAAGCCGGUUGUGAAAGCCCCGGGCUCAACCUGGGAACGGCAUCCGGAACUGUCAGGCUAGAGUGCAGGAGAGGAAGGUAGAAUUCCCAGUGUAGCGGUGAAAUGCGUAGAGAUCGGGAGGAAUACCAGUGGCGAAGGCGGCCUUCUGGACUGACACUGACGCUGAGGUGCGAAAGCGUGGGUAGCAAACAGGAUUAGAUACCCCUGUAGUC